GGGCGUAAAGCGCGCGUAGGCGGUUUCUUAAGGCUGAUGUGAAAGCCCACGGCUCAACCGUGGAUGGUCAUUGGAAACUGGGGAACUUGAGUGCAGAAGAGGAGAGUGGAAUUCCAUGUGUAGCGGUGAAAUGCGCAGAGAUAUGGAGGAACACCAGUGGCGAAGGCGGCUCUCUGGUCUGUAACUGACGCUGAUGUGCGAAAGCGUGGGGAUCAAACAGGAUUAGAUACCCUGGUAGUCCACGCCGUAAACGAUGAGUGCUAAGUGUUAGGGGGUUUCCGCCCCUUAGUGCUGCAGCUAACGCAUUAAGCACUCCGCCUGGGGAGUACGACCGCAAGGUUGAAACUCAAAGGAAUUGACGGGGACCCGCACAAGCGGUGGAGCAUGUGGUUUAAUUCGAAGCAACGCGAAGAACCUUACCAAAUCUUGACAUCCUUUGAUCGCUCUAGAGAUAGAGUUUUCCCCUUCGGGGGACAAAGUGACAGGUGGUGCAUGGUUGUCGUCAGCUCGUGUCGUGAGAUGUUGGGUUAAGUCCCGCAACGAGCGCAACCCUUAAGCUUAGUUGCCAUCAUUAAGUUGGGCACUCUAGGUUGACUGCCGGUGACAAACCGGAGGAAGGUGGGGAUGACGUCAAAUCAUCAUGCCCCUUAUGAUUUGGGCUACACACGUGCUACAAUGGAUAAUACAAAGGGCAGCGAACCCGCGAGGUCAAGCAAAUCCCAUAAAAUUAUUCUCAGUUCGGAUUGUAGUCUGCAACUCGACUACAUGAAGCUGGAAUCGCUAGUAAUCGUAGAUCAGCAUGCUACGGUGAAUACGUUCCCGGGUCUUGUACACACCGCCCGUCACACCACGAGAGUUUGUAACACCCGAAGCCGGUGGAGUAACCUUUUAUUAGGAGCUAGCCGUCGA
rnacentral:rRNA from 1 species